GUCGCGUGCGCAGUUGCCGUAGCAAUUUUGUGGCGGGCGCUUUGCGCUUUGGUGCGUAAUUGAGAUUGGGCAAUCUGCCCUCCGAUGGGGAAUACCCCCGCGAAAGCGGGACUAAUUCCGCAUAACAUUCCCUGGUUUAUGGUCCGGAGAUUCAAAGCAGUAAUGCGUCGGAGGAGGAGCCCGCGCCCGAUUAGCUAGUUGGUGAGGUAUUUGCUCACCAAGGCAAUGAUCGGUAGCUGGUCUGAGAGGAUGAUCAGCCACACUGGAACUGAGACACGGUCCAGACUCCUUUUGGAGGCAGCAGUGGGGAAUCUUGCGCAAUGGGCGAAAGCCUGUUUCAGCGUUUCCGCGUGGGGGAUGAAGCCUCUCGGAGUGUAAACCCCCUCCGACUGGGUUUAAUGCCCGCAAGGGAGUGUUUGUACCAGUAGAAGAAGCCCCGGCUAAUUGAGAUUUGCCAGCAGCCGCGGUAAGUUUUAGGGGGCCAGCGUUGUUCGGAAUUACUGGGUGUAAAGGGUUCGUAGGCGGUGUGGCAAGUUGGGAGUGAAAUCUCUGGGCUUAACCCAGAGGCUGCUUCCAAAACUGCUGUGCUUGAGUGUGGGAGAGGCGCGUGGAAUUGCAGGUGUAGCGGUGAAAUGCGUAGAUAUCUGCAGGAACACCCGUGGCGAAAGCGGCGCGCUGGACCACAACUGUUUCUGAGGAUUUAAAGCUAGGGGAGCAAACAGGAUUAGAAACCCUGGUAGUCCUUUCCCUAAU
rnacentral:rRNA from 1 species